rnacentral:rRNA from 1 species
CCUACGGGAGGCAGCAGUGAGGAAUAUUGGUCAAUGGGCGCGAGCCUGAACCAGCCAAGUCGCGUGAGGGAUGACGGUCCUACGGAUUGUAAACCUCUUUUGCCGGGGAGCAAGCGUGCGUUCGUGAACGCACGUCGAGAGUACCCGGAGAAAAAGCAUCGGCUAACUCCGUGCCAGCAGCCGCGGUAAUACGGAGGAUGCGAGCGUUAUCCGGAUUUAUUGGGUUUAAAGGGUGCGCAGGCGGGAGAUCAAGUCAGCGGUAAAAUGUCGGGGCUCAACCCCGGCCGGCCGUUGAAACUGGUUUUCUAGAGUUGGAGAGAAGUAUGCGGAAUUCGUGGUGUAGCGGUGAAAUGCAUAGAUAUCACGAAGAACUCCGAUUGCGAAGGCAGCAUACCGGCUCCAUACUGACGCUGAGGCACGAAAGCGUGGGGAUCGAACAGGAUUAGAUACCCUUGUAGUC